GAAACGACUGCUAAGACUGGAUAGGAAAAGCGAAGGCAUCUUUACUUUUUUAAAAGACCUUCUUUGAAGGUAUGCUUAAGGAGGGGCUUGCGACACAUUAGUUAGUUGGCAGGGUAAAGGCCUACCAAGACUAUGAUGUGUAGCUGGACUGAGAGGUUGAACAGCCACAUUGGGACUGAGACACGGCCCAAACUCCUACGGGAGGCAGCAGUAGGGAAUUUUCGGCAAUGGAGGAAACUCUGACCGAGCAACGCCGCGUGAACGAUGAAGCACCUCGGUAUGUAAAGUUCUUUUAUUAAGGAAGAAAAAAGAGUGGAAAAACUCCCUUGACGGUACUUAAUGAAUAAGCCCCGGCUAAUUAUGUGCCAGCAGCCGCGGUAAUACAUAAGGGGCGAGCGUUAUCCGGAAUUAUUGGGCGUAAAGGGUGCGUAGGCGGUUUAAUAAGUCUAUAGUUUAAUUUCAGCGCUUAACGCUGUUCUGCUAUAGAAACUGUUUUACUAGAGUGAGAUAGAGGCAAGCGGAAUUCCAUGUGUAGCGGUAAAAUGCGUAAAUAUAUGGAGGAACACCAGAGGCGUAGGCGGCUUGCUGGGUCUUUACUGACGCUGAGGCACGAAAGCGUGGGGAGCAAACGGGAUUAGAUACCCUGGUAGUCCACGCCGUAAACGAUGAGUACUAAGUGUCGGGUAAAACCGGUACUGAAGUUAACACAUUAAGUACUCCGCCUGAGUAGUACGUACGCAAGUAUGAAACUUAAAGGAAUUGACGGGACUCCGCACAAGCGGUGGAUCAUGUUGUUUAAUUCGAAGAUACACGAAAAACCUUACCAGGUCUUGACAUUUUCUUGCGAAGUUAUAGAAAUAUAAUGGAGGUUAUCAGGAAAACAGGUGGUGCAUGGUUGUCGUCAGCUCGUGUCGUGAGAUGUUAGGUUAAGUCCUAAAACGAGCGCAACCCUUGUCGUUAAUUGCCAGCAUGUAAUGAUGGGGACUUUAACGAGACUGCCAAUGAAAAAUUGGAGGAAGGUGGGGAUUACGUCAAAUCAUCAUGCCCCUUAUGAUCUGGGCUACAAACGUGAUACAAUGGUUGAUACAAAGAGUAGCUGAAACGCGAGUCCUUAGCCAAUCUCACAAAAUCAAUCUCAGUUCGGAUUGAAGUCUGCAACUCGACUUCAUGAAGUUGGAAUCGCUAGUAAUCGUGAAUCAGCAUGUCGCGGUGAAUACGUUCACGGGGUUUGUACACACCGCCCGUCA
rnacentral:rRNA from 1 species